rnacentral:rRNA from 1 species
AUUGAACGCUGGCGGCAGGCUUAACACAUGCAAGUCGAGCGGGGUGAUGGUGCUUGCACUAUCACUUAGCGGCGGACGGGUGAGUAAUGCUUAGGAAUCUGCCUAUUAGUGGGGGACAACAUCUCGAAAGGGAUGCUAAUACCGCAUACGUCCUACGGGAGAAAGCAGGGGAUCACUUGUGACCUCGCGCUAAUAGAUGAGCCUAAGUCGGAUUAGCUAGUUGGUGGGGUAAAGGCCAACCAAGGCGACGAUCUGUAGCGGGUCUGAGAGGAUGAUCCGCCACACUGGGACUGAGACACGGCCCAGACUCCUACGGGAGGCAGCAGUGGGGAAUAUUGGACAAUGGGGGGAACCCUGGUCCAGCCAUGCCGCGUGUGUGAAGAAGGCCUUAUGGUUGUAAAGCACUUUAAGCGAGGAGGAGGCUCUUUUGGUUAAUACCCAAGAUGAGUGGACGUUACUCGCAGAAUAAGCACCGGCUAACUCUGUGCCAGCCGCCGCCGUAA